UCCGGUUUGUCACCGGCAGUCUCGUCAGAGUGCCCAACUUAAUGCUGGCAACAGACGAUAGGGGUUGCGCUCGUUGCGAGACUUAACCCAACAUUUCACAACACGAGCUGACGACAGCCAUGCAGCACCUCUCACUACAUUUCCUUGCGGACACCCCGUCGAUUAAAACAGGUUCGUAGGAGUUCAAGCCUAGGUAAGGUUCUGCGCGUUGCUUCGAAUUAAACCACAUAAUCCACCGCUUGUGCGGGCCCCCGUCAAUUUGUUUGAGUUUUAGUCUUGCGACCGUACUCCCCAGGCGGAGAACUUAAUGCGUUAGCUGCGUCACUGGAGGAGUCAAUACCUCCAAUAACUAGUUCUCAUCGUUUACGGCGUGGACUAC
rnacentral:misc_RNA from 1 species